ACAAAGCCUCGGGCCUCUGGGGCCGCAGAGUAGCCCCAAACUGGAGGUGGGUCUUCUGAGCUCCACUUCACAGGGAGACGCUGAGACUCGGGAAGACGAGGAUAUCCAGACGCAGCCGCCCAAGUGCUGGCCAGAGAGCCCUGUCCCCAAAGCCAUGAUCCGUUAUACCAGGGGACUUGGAAUGUGAGCUCUAGGUGGGGCGCAGCCUUCCUGGGGGUCUGUCCCCCUGCCCGCUCUGUAACCCCAGAUCCUGUCUACCCUGGAGUCCAGGCCAGGGAAGGGCCCAGGGCCCAGAGGAUGCUCUGACGAGGGGAACCUCUGCUGACCCCUCUUGCCCGGGUCUGCCUCAGAGCCUGCAGGACACACCUUAGCAACUUCUUUCAGUUCGUGUAGACGGGAGGGGGGUGGUCGGAAAGCCACGGUGACCACUGGCUUCAUCACAACUCAGUGGCCCUUAUCAAGUCACUGCAUUUCUUUAAGCCUCUGGUCCUCAACAUAUUCAAUGGUGAGGGAUGGACUGCCACUUCCAUCGUCAAGGAAAGAGGAGUAUACGAGAUGACCUGGGAAAGUCCUUCGAAAAUAGGAGUAUGGUUCUCUGGGCUAAUCACGAGAUGACAGUAAGCUAAUAAACACAUUGCCUGGCAUAUGGGAGGCACACAAUAACCACAAAAUGAAUUAAAUAUCCCUGGCACGGAAGAGUAGGAAAAAAAGCAAAAAAUUCUUUUUCCGGAGAUGUCUCAAGAUAAAACGUUGGCUAAAUUUGUGGAUUGAGGGGCUGAGGAUGUUUUUUAUUUUUCUGGUAUCUGUCAAAUUUAAGGGGGAUGCCAUUUCUGUUCACAGACCCGCCUUUCCUCCUAACCCAGUGAUACUCCUCUCAGUAAUAACCAUCCUAACUCGUUCCUUUAUUUUAGCUGGAUACAGAACUUGAUCCUUUAAAAAUACUCAUCAUUUCAUUAAAUCUUUAGUGCCACCUUGUGAGGCAUAUAGAAAAGUAUUAAUAUCCUCACUUGGGAAAUGAGGAGAUGGCAUGGCAAAUCUGACUUGCCCAAAUUUACACGUUACUGGCUAAAUGGAUUUGAAUCCAGGCUUUCUGACUCUAGUCAACUAUUCAGAUUUUGUGCACGCGCCUGUGUGCAUGCACCCCCCCCCCACACACACACACAAGAAAACACGUUUCUCAAACCAUCUUCUCCUUCCUACUGUCUCUAUUUCCCAUCCGGUUUAAAAAGUGAUGGAAAAAAGAAUUAAAAAUCCUGGCUACAUGAGUAAGAGGAAGCAAAAUGUACCAAUAUUAGGACAUGGUGAAGAAAUCAGCCUGCAUGAUUUUUUGAGGGCUUCUUAGCCAGGCAGAUUGGAAUGGUUUGGAUUAGUAGUUUAAAUAGGGGUUGGGGGUGUGGCUCAGUGGUAGAAUGCUUGCCUAGCAUGCACAAAGCCCCCGGUUUUAUUCAUCUCCAGCACUUGGAGGGAAAAAAAAAAAGUAAAGUUCAAGUAGAUUCUGGCUUAUGAGAAAGAAAGAAUCAAUGACUUGCCCUAUCUUCCUCCCUUCACAGUAGCUCUUUAAGUCAACAAAUACCUGAGUCCCUUCUAAAGGCAAGGUACAGGGCUUCUUGUCACUGCAUCACAUAAGAGCUACAGCUUUGUGAAACAUCAGGCCGAGGGACCCAUAAAAAGUAACCCUCCAAAGUAAUUUUCAGAUUUAAGAGCAGAUGCAUGUGGGCUGCAGAACCUUCUCUGCCUGUCUGCUCCUUGAGAUGUUACAUAAAUCUCUGGCUGGCGCCCUCUCUCUCUCUCUCUCUCUCUCUCUCUCUCUCUCUCUCUCUCAUUAACCUGAACUAUUGUACUGUUUCUUCCUAUCACACUGCCCUUACGAUCCCUCACACUCUGUCCCUGUCUCAUGCCACCCCUCUUUCCACAUGCCAUACUCUUCCCCUGACCUGUUCUUAAAGCUGAGUUCUCUUUUACCAGGUGAACCUCAUAGCACCUGAUUUUAGAUCUGCGGGGGACUGUUUUCCAAAAGCUUAAGAAGUUGGAAUAAGCACUCUUGGGUUUCUUUACACAUUUUUAUAGCACUGUCUCUUCAAUGAACUUGACACUACCAUAUACACAAACUACAAAAAUAACGCUCAAGCCAAUUUUUAUCUCGUUUUUGGUGAAGAUGAGAUACUGGGAGGACUUAUGAUGGGGAUACCUCCCUAAUUAUGUCCAUUCUUAAGGUAUCAGUGCCAGUAAUCAUUCAAUUGAAUAUUUUAUAGGUAACUCCACUUAUGGGAAAAAGAAGACUACCAGAGGUAAAAACUUGUGAUUUGCUGCCUGCAAAUUUACUGAGCAAAAACUGUUAACCAAACAGUUGUUUAAAAACAAAUAUCAUUGGGGCUGGGGAUGUGGCUCAAGC
rnacentral:lncRNA from 1 species